GGUUUGGGACAAGCGUAAUCGACUCUUGAUAAGCAUACAGUUUCCCUGACUGAAACAGCUGUGAGCCUCGGUGGGCCAAGGGCAUUGGUCAGCAGGUUUUACAGAGGACAAGAGAGCAUCGGCUGGCACAGCAGCGGGGUGACAUCACUGAACGCGAAGCUGGGAAGAGAUGUGUACAGUCAGCUCUCGUGCCUGACAAAAGGCAGCUCCAGCACACCCUGGCGAAGAGCAUACUUUGGCCACGAGAGAUCUCUCCAAGGGGACAUGAAGCAAGCAAAGAGGAUCUCGAGAAUUUUCAGGAGCAUAAAGAUGAAAAAGAACUGGGCCUGGAGACAAGCACUUUGCCAAAGCCCCUCCAGAGUUGAAAUGACUCCAGGUGCUCAGCCUGGGACAUGUGGUUGGGCUGUUCAUCCAGUCAAAGGCCAAGUCCUCCGGGAGCCAACCAGAGCAGAAGAUGGAGCCAUCCUGGGCCUGCCAAGAUGGCGGCCCUGGGGCUCCUGGAGAAGGGAGAGGUGGGGCCUGGGCAGAUGUAAACUCUGUGUUCCCUCUCCACCCCAGGAUGAGUGACUCUGGUGAGGGAGGGGAAAUGAAUAUUAAAUACAUCUUUGGGGGGGAAAGGAAAGCCUUAAAGCAGACCUGCAGCUUGGUGGCAGGAGGGGAGGAGGCAUGUGCAGAACCUCACUUUCCCUGAAUAUCGGUCUGUAAGCUUCAACGAUUUCUUAGUUAGAUCUCUCAUCACAAGAUGUUAGAGCCUGAGAGGACUCCAGAUAACUUCCACUGUCUCCUUUCUUUUCAGAUGAGGAGCCUGACUCUAGAAAGGUCAGAAAUUCUAGUCUAGAUUCAGGUCAAAACUCAUACUGGCAGCUUUAGGAUUUGCAAUCAGGUUUUAAAGCUCCUGGCAAACCAUCAGAAUGAGUGCCCCAAAGGCCAGAGUCUAAGGUAUUUUCUGCUUCAUCUUUCUCUAGGGGUCAGCUCUGACGGGGAAGAGCUCAUAGCAAACACUGGUGGGUAAAUGCCAAACAUCUUGUGAGCAACAUGGCUCUGGGCAAGCAUGUCAAUUUCAUUGCUUGUGUCAUAUUCCAGAACAGUAUUUCUGAGAUGCGUGGAGGGCAUGUCCAGCCCAGAAGCAUCACAGAGGGUUCUGGCAGGAACUUUGAUGAACCUACUGCUUUUUCCUCACUGGCCAUUUCCUCCAUAGCCUCCUGCUCUGAUUAUUAUAAAAAUGGCUGUCAGAUGUAUGAGGGUGGGAAAAACCUGGAGAACCUAUGUAAUGAGAGAUCUCAUUUAAACAUCACCCAGUCUUAUUUGCCUGGCAUCAUUUUGGCAUCAGUAUGGGAUGUAAAUAGGUAUUAGAUAAAAAUUUAAAGCAAGUAGUGCCCUUCCCUUCCCCAUUAAGACCUGACUGGAUCUUAGUCUCUCUAUAUCCCACCUCCUUCCAAACUUCAGCUCACCUUACAUUUCCAAUAUGCUGCUCCUGCUGAGGGGCUGACAGCUUGCAACAGCCCUGCCCUGGAACAAGGUCAGGAGCAGACAAGGAGAGGGGUUGGUGCUUCCAAGUCCAAGGGCUGUGCUUGAGGUUUGGUGACAACCUACACAGACCUGCAUGGGAUCACCAGCCUGUGAAAAAGAUGACCCCAUGGGCCACCUUGGAUGAGGAGAGAUAUUUGUUUGAACACUCUGAGCAGAAAGCUAUGUGAUUGUCAAGUGAUUUACCAAAUCUGAAUGUGCCUAAGAGAAUUUCUAGCUGCCUUUGUUUGAAGGAGGUGAUUAGUUCUCUGAACUAAUU
rnacentral:lncRNA from 1 species